GUAUAUGAAUAUAAAUCUUUUAUUCCAGCUUUAACCUAUGCAGGCAUUGGAGAAGCUGGGGUUUCAAAGAUCUUUUCGAUGCUAAACAUACCAAUUCUUACUCCAAGAAAUUUGAAGAAGAGAGAGCGAGAGACUGUCCCUGCUCUAGAGUCACUGGCAAGAAAUUUCUGUGAAAAAGCCUUACAAUUGGAGGCACAUUAAUCAAGUGAAAGUGGAUUGGUGAUCUCUUAUGAUGCUGGGUGGCAAAAGCGAGGAAGUGGUAGAAACUACUGUAACAAUAGUCUCUCAGGACACGCAUCAAUGAUUGGCAGCAAAACUGGCGAAGUAGUAGGAUACAGUGUCAUGUCAAAAACAUGCCGUACCUGUAAUUCCAACAAAACCAGAACCUGUGAAAAAGAUCAUGACGGCAAGAAUUGGUCUGGCAGCAUGUUCAAAGCCAAUGGAACCAGCAAGCAGAUAGCACAUCAGAGAAGAGGCGAUGAUGGGAUACACAGCUUAUUUACAGAGAAUUUUAAGGGCAAGCCAAGGAUUACAAAGCGCACAUCUAUCAUUACUGCUGUGUCCAAAUUCAUGGAAGAGAGAUAACUCUACAUUCUGAAAAUUGAUGUCAUGUUGAUUUCAGUCAUUAUCUUUUAUAUUUUACUGGAUACAAUGCAAUUUAUUUUUAUUUUUGUAAUCCUUUCACCCAAUGGAUAUUUUGUUUAGGCACCAAACAAGUCAACAUACAGUAUAUGCAGGCUGUCCAGCACCCUUGGACAAAAAAUAAGGGCAAAUUUUAGGGGUAAAAUUUUAAAAAAUUAGGGCUAAAUUAGGUCUAAAAUUAGGAAUUUUUAACCAAAUUGCGGAAGUUUUAAUUAUCUAAAAGGACUUACCUUGUCAAAU